GAUGAAGAACGUAGCGAAAUGCGAUACGUAAUGUGAAUUGCAGAAUUCAGUGAAUCAUCGAAUCUUUGAACGCAUAUUGCGCUCUCUGGUAUUCCGGAGAGCAUGCUUGUUUGAGUAUCAGUAAACACCCCAACUCCCUUUUCUUUUUUGAAAUUGGAGCUGGACUUGAGUGAUCCCAACGCUUUCUUCCAAGAAAGUGGCGGGUUGCUUGAAAUGCAGGUGCAGCUGAACUUUUCUCUGAGCUAUAAGCAUAUCUAUUUAGUCUGCCUAAAAAACAGAUUAUUACCUUUGCUGCAGCUAACAUAAAGGAGACUAGUUCUUGUGCUGACUGAUGCAGGAUUCACAGAGACAGCUUCGGCUGACUUUGUAAACUCGAUCUCAAAUCAAGUAAGACUACCCGCUGAACUUAAGCAUAUCAAUAAGCGGAGGA
rnacentral:misc_RNA from 1 species